AGCCUGCUCCGGCAGGCUUAUGGUCGUCGUGACCACGUGUUCACUGUGAGAGGCUGGCACCCAGGCGGCACUGCCACUCGUGACGUGCGUCAGUUGGGGCGUGCCGAGCGGGAGCUGCCCUCCGGGGCGGUAUGCCGCACGUGGUGUGGCCCGUUUUCGACGGGGGAAAGGAGCCAGGUUCACCUCGCGGCCUGUCGGUCGGACAUUCAACAGUUCGCCCGUUCGGGCUGGGCUGGAUGGAACGACAGUCGGAAUACCGAGGUGAGGUUGGCGACGACCAGGCACGAGCGCUCCUCAUGCCGAGACGGAGGCUGCAUGUGGGCCCCUGUGCACCCGGGUGGACUACCGUGGAAGCCGUCCUUGGACUCGGACGCGUUAGUUGACGUUGGUUUGGAGCAAG
rnacentral:rRNA from 1 species